AAAAAAAAAAAAAAAAAUGUCAAAGGGAGAGGAGGUGGUUCUUUUGGAUUUCUGGGCCAGCCCUUUCUGUAUGAGGGUAAAAAUUGCGUUGGGUGAGAAGGGGGUUACCUUCGAAUCAAGAGAGGAGGAUUUGUUUGGUGGGAAGAGUGAGUUGUUGCUGAAAUCAAACCCAAUUUACCAGAAGGUGCCUGUGUUUUUGCACAAUGGAAAGCCACUCUGUGAGUCCUCCGUUAUUGUCAGUUAUAUUGAUGAGACAUGGGCUUCACCUGCACUGCUUCCACCAUGUACUUAUGGACGUGCUCAAGCUCGCUUCUUGGCUGAUUACAUUGACCAAAAGCUAUUUGAUGCAGUUCGAAAUGUGGCGAUGAGCAAAGGGGAGGCCACAGAGGCAGCAAAGAAGGAGUUGAUAGAGAUAUUGAAGGUGGUAGAUGGAAGCCUUGGAGAUAAAGAUUUCUUUGGAGGGAAGACUUUUGGAUUUAUUGACAUUAUAGCAAUUCCUUUUACCAGUUGGUUUUUGGCUGCUGAGAAAAUGGGAAACUUCCAGGUUGAAGCUGAAUUCCCAAAGGUUUCAGGCUGGAUAAAGAGAUGCAUGCAAAGAGAGAGUGUUGCCAAAAUCAUUCCCGACCCUGAAAAGAUCUAUGAAUUUGUGCUCAUGUUUAGGAAGAAGAAUGGGAUUGAUUAGUCAAUAUUUAAUUAAUGCCCUAAUUUCAUCACUUGCUCAAGUCUUUCCUGUUGUUCUGUCAAAGGUGUAUGAAUGAUGAAGGAAAAGUAUCAUUUUCCUUUUCCUUUUCUUUUUCUUUUUAGGCAGUCACUUUCCCUUUGCUUAAUUUCAUGUAUUGUGAAUAAGAAAGGAACUAAUGAUUCCAUUGGUUUUCCUACCAUUACCUCCUGUGCUUUGUAGUUUCAUUAUAUAUUUUGGGUAAUUUCAC
rnacentral:misc_RNA from 1 species